rnacentral:rRNA from 1 species
UACGUAGGGUGCGAGCGUUGUCCGGAAUUAUUGGGCGUAAAGAGCUUGUAGGCGGUUUGUCGCGUCUGCCGUGAAAAUCCGAGGCUCAACCUCGGACUUGCGGUGGGUACGGGCGGACUAGAGUGUGGUAGGGGAGACUGGAAUUCCUGGUGUAGCGGUGAAAUGCGCAGAUAUCAGGAGGAACACCGAUGGCGAAGGCAGGUCUCUGGGCCACUACUGACGCUGAGGAGCGAAAGCGUGGGGAGCGAACAGG